UGAUUAAAAUUUGCCAAUCUGGCCCGAUGGCAUGUUCGGUGACCCAGAUAUUGUUGGGCCAGAAAAUUUAAAUCUUGUCAGACCAAGAUUACCAAUCCUGCUGAAAAUGUGUCAUUAAAAUUAAUCCGGUUGGAGAGCAAAUCGCGCAGCACCGCGAAAACCAGAAAUGCUUAUACUUUCCUCUGUGGUUUCUCACUUCUCUCUUCGACAGAAAGGAAGCUGCGGCCAUUUUUGAUUGUCUACGACCAUCGCCGAUCUAAUUUAGUUGUCUUUCAGAUUUGGAUUCACGGCAUCAGGUUCCCAUAUUCAUUUAUCCUCUGUUUAGUCUUCUUCUUCAUUCCAAGUAUGAGGCCAUGUAUUAGACAUAUAUCUCCAUACUUUGAGCUAAAAAGUGCCACUGACUACUGAGUGCCGGAGUUGAAGACGAUGGGAUGCGAAGCUAGAUAGAAGCUGUGAGAAGCUGAAAAUGGAGCAGGGAAGUCUUUGUUCGCGUUAUUCGUGUUUCAUGUUCCUGCAUCCCUCCUGCUUAAAUAUUUUUCAGAAAUUGUGAUAACAGUCGCUCCAAACUGGAUUUUGAAGGUUUAUCGUCGUCGUAAGAUAUACUAGCCUUGUGAUUUUCUUUUCAUUUAGAAUAAAUGGCUCCAGCCAAAAACCCAAGAGCUUGAAAGCCAAGAGCACGUUGAUGUAUUUGAUUUAGUAUUUGUAGGAACUUUUUUAUUUUAGUAUUAGAUUUAGCCAUUAUUGGUCAAUCAUGACAUUUGUGGUUACUCUAGGAAUUAUCAAUUUAUUUGCACAAAUUUAUCUUAUUAAAUCAUAUAU